rnacentral:lncRNA from 1 species
CUGCCUCAGCCUCCCAGAGUGCUGGGAUUACAGGUGUGUGUCAUCAUUUACAGAAAACAGAAUGAGUUCCAGGUUUUGCUCUUUUAAAAUGAGUGGCCCAUAGUUACAUAUGGCUACAUUUAGCUGUUUUGUUGUUAGUUGGCACAGCUGCCUCCCAAAAUGGAGGCUUUAAUACUUGAAGAUUCCAUUAGGUGGCGGUCAGGAUCCGGGCAUCUUUUGAUUUUCAGCGCCCCACCCCCACACACACCGGCGUUGGUGGGGGGCGUUGCCAAGCAUCUUGCGGGUAGAAAGGAUAGGAAAAGCAAACAUAAAAGCUGUGUAUGGAUAUAUGAGUCACUAACCAAAAAGCUAAGAAUCCGGGUGAAGAACUGCAGAACUCUGGUUUACGACCAAAGGAAGAUGUGCCAGCAUUCAACACACUCAACUGUAGUUCCAGUGUGGAUUCUGCCUCUCACUUCCAUGAGACCUUCAGCAGAGAGAUCUUCACUUCAUUGGGCCUCUAUGUAUUUGUGUUUCCUUGCAGUCCUAAGACUGCGAUUCUUAAUUUUACAGGAAGUCGAGAAAGUUGAUACAGUCUUCCCUGAUGAGUGCAGUCCGCAGUGA